GAUAGUUUUCUGAAUAAUCUAAAUAUUUACUAACAUUGGUUUGGGAUAAAUACUGCAAAGGUCUCAAAAAGUUGUGGUCCAAAGGUUAUGACUACCAAAAUUUGGAAAGGACCAAACAUUUUGGUGGUUUAUCAUGCAAUAGAAAUAAAAGUGAGGACCAGCAAAUUUCUUUAAAGACCCACAGGAAGAAAAGGAUUUAUAGAACUGAAAUAUUUUUUUUAAAAUUACCUAGGAACUAGAUGCAUCUUUGGCAAAGCACCU
rnacentral:lncRNA from 1 species